rnacentral:tRNA from 1 species
UUCUACAUUUUAAUAUAUGAGGUAUAUAGAUUUUUGAUAUCUAAAGAAUUAGUUUAAUCCUAUUAAAUG